rnacentral:siRNA from 1 species
AAGCACGUUGAAGAGAGAGAUGGU